AGGUCAUUUCAAAGAGGGUUCGUAUGGCUGUAAAACCAGCAGCCCUUAACGCGAUGACCUAAUAGGAACUCUCUACAGGUUACCACUCUCACUAAGUAGUGCACUGUGGUUUCCUCCUGAGACACAGUG
rnacentral:snoRNA from 13 species